UACGGAGGAUGCAAGCGUUAUCCGGAAUGAUUGGGCGUAAAGCGUCCGCAGGUGGCUAUGUAAGUCUGCUGUUAAAGAGUGAGGCUCAACCUCAUAAGAGCAGUGGAAACUACAUGGCUAGAGUGCGUUCGGGGCAGGAGGGAAUUCCUGGUGUAGCGGUGAAAUGCGUAGAGAUCAGGAAGAACACCGGUGGCGAAAGCGCUCUGCUAGGCCGCAACUGACACUCAUGGACGAAAGCUAGGGGAGCGAAUGGG
rnacentral:rRNA from 1 species